GACGAACGCUGGCGGCGUGCUUAACACAUGCCAGUCGAACGGAAAGGCCCUGCUUUUGUGGGGUGCUCGAGUGGCGAACGGGUGAGUAACACGUGAGUAACCUGCCCUUGACUUUGGGAUAACUUCAGGAAACUGGGGCUAAUACCGGAUAGGAGCUCCUGCUGCAUGGUGGGGGUUGGAAAGUUUCGGCGGUUGGGGAUGGACUCGCGGCUUAUCAGCUUGUUGGUGGGGUAGUGGCUUACCAAGGCUUUGACGGGUAGCCGGCCUGAGAGGGUGACCGGCCACAUUGGGACUGAGAUACGGCCCAGACUCCUACGGGAGGCGGCAGUGGGGAAUAUUGCACAAUGGGCGGAAGCCUGAUGCAGCAACGCCGCGUGCGGGAUGACGGCCUUCGGGUUGUAAACCGCUUUCGCCUGUGACGAGGCGUGAGUGACGGUAAUGGGUAAAGAAGCACCGGCUAACUACGUG
rnacentral:rRNA from 1 species